CUCCGAGUCUUUAUCCAGAGUUCAUACAGCCUGCCUUCUGCCAUCAGCCCUAGCAGGCUGCGACUCCCCAAAUCCUUUUAUCGUGCAUUACAUGCGCUGGCCAGGAACACCGCCAUAGCUGUGAAAAAACAAGAACAGAAAACAAACAACACCACAAGCAAAAACCAUUACAUUAGCAUAGGGAAAGGGAGGGAGGGAGGGAAACUGUUC